GGAGACGGCACCUCCAACACAUGAACCCUCGAGGGACACACUUGAAUCAUAUGUGAACCAUAGCAGAGUUUAAGUGAUUUGCCCAAAGUCACAUGACUCGAAACAGAACAUAUUAUGAAGAUGCCACAGAAAGUGCAGCUCACGGGCGGGGGACCAGAUAUUUCUUCGUUAGGCGUUACAUCAAGAAGUCCAGAAAGUGAAGGAAAAGUGCAUUUACCUUCAAAGGCUUGCCCUAGAGCUUCUGCCAGACUCUGGGCCAGUGCGCAGAAGACGGGAAGUUGGCGUCUUUGCAGGAAACCGGCCACCAGAGGGCGGCCCGUGCCUCCCGGAGGCCUGUCGGGUCUGGACUCCCAGCCGGGUGUUUCCAGAGCAGGCUCUUUGCAACACCGCCAGGAGGUGUGGCUCCAGGGACAAGGAUUGUAUUUUUAUCUGCUGCUCAUUUUUAGCAAUCUGGCCGACGUUUCUCUGGCACACAAAGGAAGUGGCUGCCUCCUGCGAGGCAUGAGUCACUCUGCUUGAGAGAGGUGGCCUGUCGCGGUGGACCCACGCCCCAAAGAGCUGUCAACAGCCCUGUGCCCCCAGAGGGGUUUAUUUCUGUCCCUCUGCCAGGUGUGGCUGUGAGUUUGCCUCUGGCAGGGCCCAUGCCGUUCCUGCCCUUCAGCAUGACAGCAGAGCUGGGAGGUCCUGACUCCACAGCCCCCCCACGCCCCAGCCAGGCAGCGCUUCGGGGAGGCCUGAGUCAGCAGCGCACCUGAACGUCCUCACGGAGCCGGCAGGGGAAGAAGGGAGGUGCCCCCUGCACACAUCCCAGCCGACCACAAGGGACUCCGCUAUCAUGCCUUGGCAGCUCCAGCUCAUCCAGCAAUGUCACCUCCUCUCCGAAGGCCCCUGGAUUCCUCAGGGCCAGAUGCAGGCUGAGGGUCUGCCCACAUGGGAGGCAGCUGCCGUGUCCUGGGACUCCUGAGGCUCCUGACAGGGAUGGACAGGCUGCUUUCCUCCCACAUGAGGUUUGGAAAUGAACCCUCAAGAUUCCUAGGCACCCUCCUUCCCACUGCAGAGAAACCACAGAGCUGGCCUCGUUAUCCACCCAGAAAGAGACAGAGACCCUGAGUCCCAGACUCAGACGCCUGCAGGGUGGUAACGUCAGACAGGAGCAGAAGUUUGCAGGCUACGAGGAGGGGCUGGGCCUCGUGAGUGCACAAGGGGCAACUUAGUCCUGAAUGACCAUUAUCUAGCCCAUGAGCUGCCCACAGGCGCAUGCUCUGCUGACACUGGACAGCAGCACACCUCGGCUUGCACAGGACGGCUACCACGGCAGGUGUAGGGAGUUUCCACCUCCACUAAAACCUUGGAUCAGCUGCUGCUAAAAGCCUGUUGCUGACCACAGUGUGGUUAUAUGACAGGAUCACCCGAGGAGCCAGGGCAGAGAUGAGGAAGCCCAGAGAAGUCGAGGGACUGCCUAGGCCCCAGAGCAGCCAGUGCCAGGGCCAAAUUCCCUGUCACCUGCCCCGUGCCCUUGCCCUAAUUCCUGCUGCGGUGAGUUACAGGGGCGUCCAUGAAGCGCCUGCGUCAGAGGUCCCGAGGCCGUCCUGCUCCUGGGAGUCCAGCCACAGCGGGGUUCAGCACCCACCAGGUGCAGACCAGACCGCUGUCCCCUGGGAGCUGCGAGCACUGGGAGCCGGAAACAGCUGCCCAACUCAUGCACUGGCUUGAACCGGGAGUCUCUGGUAAAGGGAUUUGGGAAGUUUUGCGCCUGUUUCAAUACCCCAGUAGAUCUCCCCACUUAAAAGAAACACAUGGUGGAAUUCCUUUGUAGGGCAAGUGCGUGUCCUGAUUUAUUGUUUGUCAGUUUGGUUUUGGGUGCCUUGAUUUGUGGAAUUUAUUGCACAAUGAACUCAGAAGAAUCACCUCUGUCUACUCUGUUUGUUUGUCUUGGGGUUUUUUUGGGACAUUUUGUGCAGAAGUUUCUAAUUUUUAUGUGGGGAAUUUGUCAACCUUAUCCCGGAUGAUUUCUUCCAGAGCCUGAAAAUUUAGAAAAGAAAAAUAAAAUAAUUUCCUCAAAGAA